ensembl:snRNA U7 U7 small nuclear RNA
UAGUGUUACAGCUCUUUUAGAAUUUGUCUAGUUACAUUUCACUGAAAAAUCUCCA